UUUUUCUUGUUCCUGCUCCCUCCAUCUGCUAUUUCCCGCUCACUCCAUCCAGUCCCGACAACGAAGUCAACCAUAGCAAUCCUCGAAGUCGACCGUAGCAAUCCGCGAAGUCGACAUCUGCUAGUUCAGCUCCACCUCCUUCCUAUUUUUCUUCCUCCUCCGUUGCUCAGAUCCUAAACUCUAAUACCCAGAAAUCAAUCAGAUCUGUUCAUCUCUCACUUUUUGGACUGCAUCUUGUUGAUCUCCACUCUCAAAACAGAGAUUGUUCACUGUUGAAGAAUUGGCUUUGUAUAAUGGGACUGAUCAAAGUUUGCCAGUCUUGUUAGGAAUUGGGGUCGGUUUUUGAUCGAUGUGGUGAAAGGAAAGUCUCAUUACGAUGAGGGUGGGGGUUAUAAUCAUUUUUUUGGAAGGUUCUUUGCAUUAUAAUCUCGUUGUUCGAUCUGUGUCAUUUGUCUUCCUCUUAUCAGAAGCUCUAUCUACUAGUUUUUGAUUCCAAGUAAGGCUCCUCUUUUCGUUAUAUUGUUUUUAAUGAUAAUAUUUGGUUGUAAAUGUAGUGGAAAGUUAUGCCCUUGAUCUUUGUCUGUUGCAUUUUGUUUUAAUUGGUAUGUUGGGGUUCUGAUAUAAAAUCUAUGACAGGAAUUCUAUAAUUCUUAUUAUUAUUUUUAUUACUCAAUGUCUUCU
rnacentral:lncRNA from 1 species